rnacentral:rRNA from 1 species
UACGUAGGGGGCAAGCGUUGUCCGGAUUUAUUGGGCGUAAAGAGCGCGCAGGCGGCUGGUCAAGUCCGAUGUGAAAGCUCCCGGCUUAACUGGGAAAUUGCAUCGGAAACUGAUCGGCUGGAAGGUGGGAGAGGGUAGCGGAAUUCCCGGUGUAGUGGUGAAAUGCGUAGAUAUCGGGAGGAACACCAGUGGCGAAAGCGGCUACCUGGCCCAUUCUUGACGCUGAGGCGCGAAAGCUAGGGUAGCAAACGGG